rnacentral:rRNA from 1 species
UACGAAGGGGGCUAGCGUUGUUCGGAUUUACUGGGCGUAAAGCGCACGUAGGCGGAUCGUUAAGUCGGGGGUGAAAUCCUGGAGCUCAACUCCAGAACUGCCUUCGAUACUGGCGAUCUUGAGUCCGGAAGAGGUGAGUGGAACUCCUAGUGUAGAGGUGGAAUUCGUAGAUAUUCGCAAGAACACCAGUGGCGAAGGCGGCUCACUGGCUCGGUACUGACGCUGAGGUGCGAAAGCGUGGGGAGCAAACAGG